UAACAAACAGGACAACAUUCCCUGUUGAUGUAAGAGGGCAAAAAAGAAAAAAAAAGGUGAGCUUGUAUUAGGAGAGAAUUUGGGUGGCUGUGUGUUCUCUGUAUGGUGGUAUCGAACCUGUACUGCCAGAUCCAGAUAUGCAAAAACCGUUAUCAGCAACCAGGACUAAAGAGGACAUCCAAAAGCAUUCAAGACCUCAUAGGCUAGAAACUGCAAGUAACUGCAGCAAUAAAAUCAAGGUAAAAGCUUACCCAUGAAAGAUCUCUCAAAGGCAGAUCUCACUGAAGAGUAGCAGAGAAUUUCAUCACUGCCAUGAGCCUUUUCCACCUAUCUGCUACUCCCUGUUGCUCCUCCUGCAGCUGGCAAGACAUGUAGGGGGUGAGGUAUUGCUGUUCAGCUCAGCAGAAUUUACAAUGCACAUUGGAUCAUCCAUUCUGCUGCUCCUUGACAGGUGACAGAGAUGUUCAACCUAAUAAAGGGAAUUUAAACUAUAUUUUCCAUAUGUUUCUCAUUUGCACUUCACUGAUGGAAUUCCAAAUCAAC